CUUUUUUUUUUUUCUUUUAAAUUUCGUAUUCUGAUCCUAUUCUUUUCUUAAAGCAACACGGCAAUUUGAGUUUUGGGAGCUGGUGCAAAGAGAGAGAGAGGAAGAAA
rnacentral:ribozyme from 1 species